rnacentral:rRNA from 1 species
GAUGAACGCUAGCGGGAGGCCUAACACAUGCAAGCCGAGCGGUAUUUCUUCUUCGGGAGAGAGAGAGCGGCGUACGGGUGCGGAACACGUGUGCAACCUGCCUUUAUCUAGAGGAUAGCCUUUCGAAAGGAAGAUUAAUACUCUAUAAUAUAUUAAUUGGCAUCAAUUGAUAUUGAAAACUCCGGUGGAUAGAGAUGGGCACGCGCAAGAUUAGCUAGUUGGUGAGGUAACGGCUCACCAAGGCAAUGAUCUUUAGGGGGCCUGAGAGGGUGAUCCCCCACACUGGUACUGAGACACGGACCAGACUCCUACGGGAGGCAGCAGUGAGGAAUAUUGGUCAAUGGGUGCAAGCCUGAACCAGCCAUCCCGCGUGAAGGAUUAAGGUCCUAUGGAUUGUAAACUUCUUUUGUAUAGGGAUAAACCUACCCUCGUGAGGGUAGCUGAAGGUACUAUACGAAUAAGCACCGGCUAACUCCGUGCCAGCAGCCGCCGCGGUAA